UGGGGAAUAUUGGGCAAUGGGCGCAAGCCUGACCCAGCAACGCCGCGUGAAGGAAGAAGGCUUUCGGGUUGUAAACUUCUUUUAAGUGGGAAGAGCAGAAGACGGUACCUCUUGAAUAAGCCACGGCUAACUACGUGCC
rnacentral:rRNA from 1 species